GUUCACAAGAAGACCAGGGACAGGCUUCCUGCCAUAGAAUGAUCCCAUCUCAAUUAGUAUGUACACACUCCUCACUUUACCAUGGAGACAUACCUUUCUCUUUGGUGGGCAUUUUCUCCAGGUCUUUAGAUGACCAAGGUGGACAUUUCCAAUGGUUAUCUACACAUUCUUUCAAUCAUCUUUCCCGACCAGAUCUAGUUUAUCCCACGUAGUGGUUUCGGCAUCCUGCCAUUUUCCGGUGGCUCUGUCUGCAUUUGGGUAUGCCCCAUAUAGAUGCCUUUGCCACUGUUCUCAAUCACAAAUUACCUCAGGUUUUGGUCUCAGGUCACCCAUCCUCGAGCCUUGGCUGUUGAUGUCUUCAAUCAGGAUUGGUCUCAUCUGUUCCUUUAUGUUUACCCACCCAUCCGUUUACUUUAUUGGAUGGUCUCCCUCAUCCAUGACACUCCAUGCACAGUCCUUCUGAUUGCUCCUUACUGGCCUGCUCAACCUCGGUUUCCUCAGUUGCUCCAACUUCAGGUGGUCCUUCCUCUUCCCUUCUGUCCCUACCUGCUCUAUUAACUCCAGUCACCAGUGCUUCAUCCUGCACUGUCAGUCCUCCGUCUUCACACCUGGCUUUUUCAAGUCCUUGGCAAGGACUUCCAGUUUCUCUCACAGAAUAGCUUCACAUUUAGCCUGUUCCAUUUGGCCAUCUAUCAAUGCAAAUGGAGCAUUUAUCACUCCUGGGCAUUGACUUGGGGUUUCCAGGCUUCUCACCCAAUGGUUACCUGUAUCUCCGAGUUUCUCACAUAGCUCUUUGAGAGGGGUUCUUUGGUCUCCUCGAUUUCAGGGUUUUGGGCAAUGUUAUCCCACACGUUCUGUUUUUUCCACUUCUGUAGGGUCUUUUCCUCCCCUGUCCUUUCCAUGUUGAUUCGAUCCUUACGGCUCCAUCCACCACAGAGAUGUCAGUCAUUCCCUGACUGUGUCAUUGACGUGGUCGUUCAUGCCCUCACUUUACCUCCAUUUGAACCUCUGUCUAUAUGUUCCGUAUUUUGAAGGUGCAUUUACUUCUCCUCCUGGUCUGCAGGUGUUGUAGGUCAGAUAUUUUCGCUCUCAAUGUUACCAGGACCUUGUACCACUCUUCCUACCUUAUCCUUUAUUCAGAUCGUGCUUUCCUUCCCAAGACUUCUGUGGCUCGAUAAGGUAAGUCCUCUUUUUCCUCUAUCUGCCUAUCCUCUAUAUCUCACCUCUACCCUCAUUCUGAUCUGGAUAGACUCCUCUCUCUUGUCUGUGCCCUAUGCUGUCCUAUUGAUCACACGACUUCCUUCCAGGGUUCUUGUUUCUGCCUUUUCAUCCCUUGAUAAACUUCCUCUUCCUGUGAUCUUUUCCCAGUUACUUUGACUAAUUGGGUUCAACAUUGGCCUAUUCCUCCUUGUCUCCUUCCCAGCAUGAUAUCUUUCACGUUUCCUCACAUUAAAUCCGUUAUCUUACCUUCUCCCUUGCCUCUCGUCUUCGUCAGCCAUUGGAAGAUAUUCUAUGAUCGGGCAUGUGGAUAACUCUGCACACAUUCAUCUUGGUUGAGAAUGUCACUGAUCUUAUUUGUAGUGAGACUGAGACAUAUUUAGAUCUGUGGCAGGCCUCCUGGGGGCUGUGACCCUGCAUUUGAGGGCAAUCCUUGACAUUUUGGAGAGACUUUAGAUUCACAUUUUCCUGUGUCUUCUUUUAGUCUGUUGGAUUUUCAAACCUCCUGUUGGUCAGUGGUAAGUUUACAGAAUAGCAGCACCAGGGUUUGAUUCCCUAGGGUGGAUAUGACAGAUGGCCCACAGUUGCUUUUCUCUAAAAAAAAACUUACUUUACCAUGGUCUUUAAAUGACCUGUGAAAAACAGAAAGGAAGCCACUUUGGGAUAAGCUGCCUUUGAUUUGUUUUCCUUCUGUUGGUUCUUUGAGUGUGUGAUGUUUUGGGCUUUUUCCCAGUUGCUUUUGAGCCUGCAACUUGAUGGCUGAAACUGUGGUUCAUGCUGGAAGGUUUACUUCUUUGUUACAUGAAGGGAUAGUUAGGCCUUAUCUGACACAUUGUUGAAACUUCAUGAUUUCACCUACCACCACCAAGUAGAGGCAUUUUUCUGAUUCUCAAAUAAUAUGUACUUGAAUUUUGGGGUUCUAAGGCUGAGUUUGUAGCUCGCCUACAUGGGACAAAGUAAGUUUACAGACUUACAAUUCAACUUCAACAUUUUGUAUCAUUUCACUUCAUUUUGUUAGAAGACUCUCAGGAUCACAAGCUUCAUUUAGGAUGAGCUGGAUCCAUUGUUAGAAUGCAUGUUGGUUCAAUUUUCGGCUUCUGUGUUCUGUGGUUGUUGGAGUCUUGAUUUUCAUUGGCUCCUACAGGGGGGGGGGGCAUAGUUCUGCCCCUGUUCAUGAAUACCAAUCCAUGACAUCAGUUCCUCAGUCAUAGAUACUCAGAAUAGAUUCUGUCUAUAUCCAAGGUUUCCAAGAGUUUCUGGAUGUGUGACAAUAUUAACCAUUGGUCCAGAAGCUCUGCAGGUCUUUGGGGGCACAGUUGGUUGUUCAGUUCACAUCUUCUCCACUAUUAUCCACCCAAUGUGUAGGAUUUCAAUUUCCCACAGUUUAUUGGGAUUUGGAACUUAGUUCUAGGGUUAUCUGAGUCUGGUUGGUCUGGGGGUAGUGAGAGAAUUGGGCUAGUUCUUCUGCUAGUUGUUGGGCCUAUGAAGACAGGAGAUUGGUGUCCAGUCAUUGAUCUUCCUUGUCUAUAUCAAUGCCUAGAUUCUCCAAGGUUCACAAGUUAAUCAUUCCUCAAUAUGUGUUUAUUUUUUUGUAGAUGUCCAGUUUGGUUGUAGUCCGCUCCUAUUUACACUUUGCUUUAGUGGUGGAGUCCUACAACUAUCAGUGUUUUUGAUGCAUAAGAGUUCAGUACUGCAGUUCCCAUUUUUGUUCUUCUUUCUUGCAUAGGCUUUUAACAUGGUUGAGUAAGGCAUACACAAUCCUGUCAUUCUGAGCCUGGAGUGUUGCCUUUUGGGCUUCUUCAGGUGGAGGAGAAAGUUUGUCCGCUUCGGUGUUGCUUACUUUCUCUAUGGCUACAGGUUGGGAUCCCAUCAAAAGUAUAUCUGUGUAUAAUGUUGCAAUCCAAUUGCCCUAGCAACCAACGUGGGAUAUAGGGAUUUUUAAAGGAACACCAGAUAUUUGUACAAAAGGUGUAAUGAUAACAUCAUUUGCACAAGAAUUAUGAUGUUUUUUAGCUUAUGUAAAAUAUAGAAGAAACAAAUUGACUUGUCAAUACCUCUAUGACUUUCAUAGUACGUUAUUUAGUAUUUUACAAAAGUUUGGUUACAAUAUACCAACCCAUUUUUAUUAUAGGCUGGCAAUAGAAUAAUACUAAUAAGAAGAAGAAUUACAAAUGGUCCAUUUUGAGUGGAUUUUCUUUUCCUUGUAAAUUUAAUGUGUGCUUUUUUUGUACAUUAUUAUGUGUACAGCCUUAGGCCAAAAAAGUUCUAUGUUUCUAGUCAUCUGUGCAUGUCAAUUUGACCCUUGCAUAUCAAAAGUUUAAAAAACAAACAAAAACUCCCUGUUUCAGUCAAUUGAGAAUUGCAUUUUAUUUUUUGAGCUGCAUGUAAAUAUAUUUAUGACUUUUGAGCAUGAAAGUACAAUAACUAUGUUUUCAUUACAUUGGCACUCACCCAUGCCAUUGAGGAGUGAGCACAUUUUUCCUAGCUUGUAUGGUGCUUCUGCAUCAAAAAUUAUAAUGUAGGCACUUUUAACACAAGAAAAUGUGGAACAACAAACUCUGAGACUUUUCGGUAAUGUGAACAUUCCUAACAAAUAUACAUUGAAUGACACUUUGAAAAUGUUUUGAAAGGCCUACUUGUCAGAAAUGACAGUUUCAUUCUUGAUCAUGAGUACAUUGACAGUGUAGUGCAAGUGAUUGUUUCUGAUACAGUGUCAGGCACAACACAAAGUGUACCAUUGACAUGUAAGGUUAUGGAUGUCAUUCAGUUUGGGAAAUUCUUGAGCUUUUCCCUGGAUCAACAAGAAGACCCUGGGCCCAGUACUGUCAUCAGUGCCUUUGAAUUUAGGAAAUGGGCACAGAAUCUACAAGUGUGACCAACUUUUUGAGACCAAUCUCGACCUAAUUCAAGAUAUCGCUUACACAGUUCAGUAGUUACAAGGGUUGAGCCUUGGAUGGACUAAAGAAACAAAAACUCUGAGUGAAAUUUAUGACUUUCAUAGGGGACAUUAUGUUGGAGCUCAAUCCUUAUUGUGGUACACUGAAAUGAAAGCCUUGUGGGCUUUCAUCAUUCUGGGAUCAGUUCCAGGGAUUCAACUGGCCAGAUCAACAUAAACAUUUACUCAAAAACUUACGAGAAGACCAUCUAAAAUUCCGUUCACAAAUUGUCUUCAACAUUUUAGAGGAGAGUGGCAUGACAUCAAAGAAGAAUUGGAAGGGUUUGCAAAAACUCUUCAGCAGUACUAUCAAUAUCUAUCAGGGAAGAUAACUGAAACAGCUACAAACCAACUUGAAACUGCAGAGAUUGAAGACUUCACAUACAAGGUUGACAAGAAUUACAGCAUGAGAUCAGGACUAAAUUAAUUGUAUUAAAUGUGGUUAUUAUUAGUAGCUAAAAAUGCAUCUUGAAGUGAUAUGCUGUUCGAAGUAAAUACUGACAGAAGAAGAGGACUUUGUUUUUUUAACUUCAAUCAGAUGGUCCUCACAAUCAGACAGCUGCGGGUUAAUAGAUUGUCUGGAUUUAUUGUACUAAUCCUGGUAGUAAUGAUGCUUUUUGUGACUAAGACAGCUGUUGAACAAUACCAACAAGUUCGUAAAUAUUUUCGGCUUCAAGAAUAUUCAUCACAAGUUCAAGAUAUUUCAGACUCCCUUCGUAAUCUUGAAGAAAAUGCGGUUGCUCUUGAAGAUGAAAUAGUGCCAUUGAAGAAGCUCAUUUAUGAUACUUUGAGACAGUUCAAUAAGACAAAGUUAUCAGGUGGCUAGUAUUUCAAAGAAAAUGCAGUUGUAUAUGUAAUUCCCUUUUUUUUUACUCAAAUGUUGUCUUCCAUUACUGAUCUAAUUAAACAUUUUUCAGAAACAAAAUAUAAAUCAUGGACAUGCACAGUAUUUAAAUAUAGAAUUUUAAAAAUACCUGAUGUUUUAAGCAUAAUCAGCUUUAUUUAUCAAUCAUUACUACAUUUAUUAGCUUUUAAAUCCUAUGAAAUACAUUUAGGAAUAAAACUUUGUAUUUUGUAAUAUUACUUUUGACCACCUUUGGCAUUCCAUGGUUGCAACAAAUAUAUCAUGCUUCAUGACUGUUGAAAUAAGUUGGAGUUCAAAAUAUUUCAAACUGUUCUUAUCAAGUUGCAGUAAUGUAAAGAUUAAAAGCAAAGUGUCUUUCAUUCUGAAUAUGUACUGUGUGCAACAUGGUAAGAGAAAUUUUAAUGUUCAGUUAUUUUUGCAGCAUUAAUUUUUGUUUUCUGUAUUUACCUAUUUUGUUAAUAUGUCAAGUAACAGAAAUAUUAAGUUAGCUUUUGAAUUCUAACAGUCUUCUUUAUUCGUUUUUCUAGAUUUACAUUGUAUUUUGUUUGAAUAAUGGUUUAGUAUAGGCCAGUUAAUGUUUCGUUCUCAUUGUUCAUGUCCGAAAGAGAUUCUUUUAAAAGCUAUUGCCAAGUAUACUCAUAUUUUUUAUGUGAUGCUCAUCUGUUGCAUUUUCAAAGAGUACUGUAAUAUGUUCAGUAUUCGUUAUGACAUCAAUAUACAGUUAAUUUGUAAAUUUGCUAAAGCAUAUUAAAAUGUUUCACUUUUUGCUAAUUAAAUAGCUUAAGGUGAAAAGUAAACAGAGUGGGUUCACUUAGUGUGUUCAAAUGUAAAUUUUCAACACUGGAAUUUUUUUGAAUUUGAGAUAAUCCAAAUAUUACAAAUGUGUAGAUUACACCAUUAAUUAUGUACAAAUUAUUAAUAGGAGUAAUGAUGUAAAAGUUUUUUUUUGCUUUUAAUUUUGAGCAUGGAAGCAAUAAGAUGACCUUGAUGCCUUUAUACUAAAAGUAUGCAGUUAAACCACAUGAUAUAUAAUAGUUAUUAUGACCUGAAUGAUUUGAGCAUAACAGUUACUUAUAGGGCAUAGGGUAAAUUAGAUUUAAUGACCUUUCAUGUAAUAUUUAGAAUAUUUUCAGUGUUUUUGUUUUAAAUUCAAUUUUUUUAAAGCAUACUAGUUUGUACUUUUUGUAUCAACAUUACCAUAUUGCUAUUACCUGAAGAUCUUGUGCCAGUAUAGAUUAAGCAAACAUUUUUAAAAUCAUCUGCAUUUUGUUGUUUAUGGUAUUUGUGAUUAAUUAAUCAGACUUUCUUAAAUUAGAAAGUGAAUUGAUUAUUUUGGUCAUUUGACUUAUUAAGCUUUCUAAAAUAUAAAAAUUGAUGUAGUUUUAUUACUGUAGAUAAUACUGUGCAAUUACUAUCCUACUGGAGAUUAAUUUUUCAGGGAAAAAAUGAUGUAAUUGAGAAAAAGCUUAAAGAAACUUUCAAAUGUAUGAAUGUGGGGGCUGCAUUCUCAGUUUUCUGGACAAGAAAUAGCUGUACUCAUUAUUUUUAAUUAAAUAUUGUGAAUGUGAAGAUAGGCUGAGUAUCAGAUUUUGUAAUUACUAAUUUACUGUAUUUUACUAGAAUGUAUACACUAAUUAAGUCUUACUAAUUCUGAAAAAUAUGUAUUUUUUAUUAAUCACAUACUGCUUAAAACAACCUGAAGUCAUAUAUACUCAAUUUAGCACCUGCUUUUGUUCAUCCAUUUAAUAUAAAAUCAUUAGAUGUGGAAAUAUUCGUUACAAAAUCAUUAUUUUGUGUUAGUUUUGAAGAUAAUCCUUAUAAGUAUGUUUAUUGUAAUGUUUACCAUUAAGAGUCAACAUUCAGUGCAAGCACAAAGAGUACAACUGUUUAUAAUAUUCUUUAAAGAGAAAAUGUCAUUCAUUUGAGGCCUUAUGGGAAUUCCCUUGUAUGUUGAUACAUUCUUUUGGGGUCAGUAACCAUUCCAUGAAAAAAAGUCAGGUGCUGAAGAAUGAGGCAUUGAACAAAUUUAAUUGCUUCAGUGGUUUUAAAAUAAGUUCAUUAUCAUCUAAUUCAUUAUCAAAAGAUGAUAAAUCUUUAUUGCCUUCCACAGAGCUUAAGCAAAAAAACAUUUGAUUUCUUUUGUAUGCCUAAGGAGGAAAACAGUUUUUUAUCUCACACUUUUUCACCAUGAUUAUGUGCAUGCAUAAAAUAAAUUGUUUUUACCAUUUAAUAUUUACUUUACAAAUUAAAAGUUCCUUAUGUUGAUAAUAUAAAUAUACAGCACACCUAAGAUAUAUAGUUUCAAUCAGUAAUAGACAUUUUCAUUUACUACACACAAAUGGAAUAAUUAGAUCAUUAUUACUUACAUAAAAAUUCCUUUAACAUUUGUUUUUUAUUAAAUUGUAAAUAACACUUCUUUAUCAUUGACUAGAUUCUUAGAGUGAAUAAAUUCUUAAAUUGAAAGUAGUUUUUUACAUCUAUCAUAUAACCAGUGAGUAGAGUUCUGUUGUGCUUAUUGCAUAUGAAAGGUUACUGAAUACCAUGUUUACUUAUAGUAAAUAAUUGUUUAUCAUCUAUCACAUACUGCAUACAUAAAAACUAAAUAGCUCUUUUUAUCUACUGCAGUGUUUCUCAACUUUUUGCACUCUUUCAAGUAGGGCAUUCACAGUUGUACCAGCUCAUGAUAGUCCAUAGCUGCAUAUCACAGCCCAUAAGUUGAGAAUCAUAAAUUUACACAAGUAAAGAGUAAAUAUAGUUCUGUAUCAUCACUUGUUCUUGAUGAUUUAUUGUGCAGAAAGUUAAAUGUUAUUUUUCAUGUUUUGUUAGAUUAAGAUUAAGUAGUUAUUUACACAUAAUAAAUCCUUAAUAUUCAGUUAUACGUACAGCAGAUAAGAUGCAUCGACAUACGUGUGUUUUUUGUGAAGUAUUUUGAAGCAUUGAUUUAGCUUUAAAUGUGAUAUGAUUCUAUAUUGUUUCUAAAUGCUGUAAAAUUAGACUGCUUAAAAAUGAAAUCAUGUUAUCACUCAAAAUAUAAUUUGUUUGUCACAGGUACUAAAUGUAAAUGUCAUAGUAUAUUUAAGCUACCAAACUAUUCAAUUAGGAAUCCAUAAGAUCUAUUUAAAUCUUUUAUAAACUGAAGUAUUUGACAUGUACCGUAUGCCAGUUUUUUCUGCCAUAAUCAUGAGGUUUUCAACCACCUUAUACCAGUAAAACAAAGAAAUGUAUAUAUGUUAUAAUGGUGUAUAUAACAGCAUAAGAAACUAAAUUAAGUAUUCCAGAGCAGGUGAAAUAAGUAUUUAACUAUCAACAGAAUACAGUAUCUUGCAGAACAGGUGUAUAUAUAUUGGUACCAAAUAAGAAGAGUUCUAUGAGAAUUGUGAUUUGUCUGUGAUGAUAUUCUAUUUUGGGAGCAAACUAGAGUUUGAACUGAAGAUAUAACUAAACAUACACAUGUGUACUAGUUCGCUGUACAUAAUGUAUUGUUGGAAGCCAAAAUGAUAUUUUUGAAAUUGUUAACCUGUGUAUUAAAAUCCAAAAUAUGUAAAGAAUAAUUGUCGGUGGUAUAGUAAGAUAACUUGAAGUUAAUGUUUGUGAUGUAAAGUCUGAAUAUGAGAAUUUGUUCAGCAGUGGAAAAGUUUUUUAAUGAGUAUUUGUACUUUGAGUUACUUAAAAAAAAGCAUUUCCUUUCAUCUGAUUAAGGUAAUGGUAAUAUUUUAUGUGGUAAAAGGUAAUGUUUUAUGGCAAUUUUGAUGCUCAUUUUGGAGGUAAACUAAGAAGUGAUAUUUCUAUUAGCAAUGAUAACAUAAACUGCAUUUCUUAGAUUAACUUCUUGCCCUCUGUUGGUUUUGAGAUGUUGUGAAAAUGCUCUGUUUAUAUUGGAUUCAUUGUUUUUGACUUGAGUUUGUAUUUUUAAUAAUAGGAUAUUAGCUAAGUUUCAUGAUAUGCUAUCUUACAAGCAAAGUAUUUUGUAGCACUCAGUAAUAUGAGUUUGGUGAUUUUCAAUUUUUAGUUUGUGUUCCACAAACAACUGAUUAUGAUAGCAGUAAAUUAUAAAACUUAUUGAAGUUUGCAAUGACUUCAGCAACUUUUGUUUAUAUAUUUUUUCAUGAAUUAAAUAACAUUUUUCAAAAUCCAACAAAAAUGUUUAAAUAUGCACAUAUUUAACAAGGAAAAUUAUUUUAUGCGGUUUCAUAAAAUAGUUAUUAUGUGUAAAUCCCGGAACAGGUGACAAAACUUGUGGUAAGUAGAUAAGAAAAUUCUCUUGAAGUUCAAUGUAUUUAUUGUUUUAUUAAUUUAUAUAUAGAAAAUUGGGUUUUAAGUAGAUAGACAUUAUGGUCUGAAAAUAUCUUAAAGAAUGUGAUAAAGAAAUUGUGUCUAACUAUAUAUGUAGCUGAAUGGGAAUUUAACCUGUAUUAGGAUUUGAUGGUAAAGUAUUUCACCUGGUAUUAGGAUAAAUCAUAACAGGUUAUACUUCAUCAAUUGUUACAGUUGGUUUGAACCAGAAUUGUCUUUAGUCUUGUUUGUGGAGAAAUAACAAGAAGUGAAAAGUUCCAUUUAUCAGUGUAUAUGUUUGGAUUGGAUUGCCUAGUUUUGAAUUGAUAUUGUAUCAGUAUUUUUUGUGAUGAAAAUUAUAUAUCAGUAGUUGUAGGAAUUAAAGUGAUUUUUACUAAACUAUUUUUAUACACUAACAAAAAUGUUAUUGAUGUUUGUUUUUUGUAUAUCAUAGUAACAAAUAUUGGUAAGUUUGGUUUGUACAUGUUGGCUAUACCAUUCAAUAAAAGUCUGAUGAAAUCUUA